ACUGUAGCUAUCCUGUGGAGUGUAUUGUUUGUGACCUACAAGCUGAUAAGAGCCUUUGAGCCUGUCAUACAUCAAGAUAAGUUUCUGAUCCCUUAUAAUAACAGUCAUACCAUGUUUGUAAUAAGAAAUCAUUAAUUGUAGCUAUCUAUCCUUAAACUUUGCUAUACCAAUUUUUUAGAACUUCGGAUUAGAGGUGUUCUCAACUGCUAUUUUGCUAGACUGAAAGUACUAGUGCUAGGUGGACCAGUUAGAUAUCUAUCUGAAAAUAGAGUUCUUGCUAGAUGGAUGCACUGCCUGAUGAGGUAUUAUAUACAGGUGCUGUACUGCAGAUUUUGUACUCUACUAAUCUGUAGAGAACAUGGAUAGAUAUAGAAAUGUACAACAUGGUUGUGGAUGUGAAUGAGAUGGGCGUCAAGCAUACAUGCAGAUUUCUGCUAGGUCAGAGAUGAAGAAGCAAGCUGUGUUGGAGGCGCAGCUUGAGCAUUUGCUGUGUCAAAAUGGACCGAGCAAAGCGUCAUGGUGGUAUGUUAGCUUUUGGUGGAACUAAGCUUUUGCAGGAACCAAACUUGUGUUUGUAAUUCUGCUGAAACCUAUCUUUUUUUUUGUUUCUGAUGCUACAAUGGACGGUAAGUGAUACUAGAUGAAAA